AAGCUGACUGCUCUGGUGGACGAGUGGCGACGGGUGAGUAACACGUGAGUAACCUGCCCCUGACUCUGGGAUAAGCCUGGGAAACUGGGUCUAAUACCGGAUACGAGACGAGAUCGCAUGGUCAUCGUCGGGAAAGAAUUUCGGUCAGGGAUGGACUCGCGGCCUAUCAGCUUGUUGGCGGGGUAAUGGCCCACCAAGGCGACGACGGGUAGCCGGCCUGAGAGGGCGACCGGCCACACUGGAACUGAGACACGGUCCAGACUCCUACGGGAGGCAGCAGUGGGGAAUAUUGCACAAUGGGCGCAAGCCUGAUGCAGCGACGCCGCGUGGGGGAUGAAGGCCUUCGGGUUGUAAACCCCUUUCAGCAGGGAAGAAGCGAAAGUGACGGUACCUGCAGAAGAAGCGCCGGCUAACUACGUGCCAGCAGCCGCGGUAAUACGUAGGGCGCAAGCGUUGUCCGGAAUUAUUGGGCGUAAAGAGCUCGUAGGCGGUUCGUCACGUCUGCUGUGAAAACCAGAGGCUCAACCUCUGGCCUGCAGUGGGUACGGGCGAACUAGAGUGUGGUAGGGGAGACUGGAAUUCCUGGUGUAGCGGUGGAAUGCGCAGAUAUCAGGAGGAACACCGAUGGCGAAGGCAGGUCUCUGGGCCACUACUGACGCUGAGGAGCGAAAGCAUGGGGAGCGAACAGGAUUAGAUACCCUGGUAGUCCAUGCCGUAAACGGUGGGCACUAGAUGUGGGGGCCAUUCCAUGGUUUCCGCGUCGCAGCUAACGCAUUAAGUGCCCCGCCUGGGGAGUACGGCCGCAAGGCUAAAACUCAAAGGAAUUGACAGGGGCCCGCACAAGCGGCGGAGCAUGCGGAUUAAUUCGAUGCAACGCGAAGAACCUUACCAAGGCUUGACAUAUACGGUUUAUCCAUAGAGAUAUGGAGUCAUUUAGUUGGCUGUAUACAGUGGUGCAUGGUUGUCGUCAGCUCGUGUCGUGAGAUGUUGGGUUAAGUCCCGCAACGAGCGCACCCUCGUUCUAUGUGCAGCAUUUAG
rnacentral:rRNA from 1 species